rnacentral:rRNA from 1 species
GAUGAACGCUGGCGGCGUGCCUAAUACAUGCAAGUCGAGCGAACGGACGAGAAGCUUGCUUCUCUGAUGUUAGCGGCGGACGGGUGAGUAACACGUGGAUAACCUACCUAUAAGACUGGGAUAACUUCGGGAAACCGGAGCUAAUACCGGAUAAUCUUUUGAACCGCAUGGUUCAAAAGUGAUAGACGGUCUUGCUGUCACUUCUAGAUGGAUCCGCGCUGUAUUGGCUAGUUGGUAAGGUAACGGCUUACCAAGGCAGCAGUGCAUAGCCGAGCUGAUGGGGUGUUGGGCGACACUGAGACUGAGACGCGGUCCAGACUCCGAGGGAAGGCAGCGGUAGGGAAUCUUCGGCAAUGGGGGAAAGACUGCCGGAGCAGCGCCGCGUGAGUGAUGAAGGUCUUCGGGUCGGAAGACUCUGUUAGGGGGGAAGAACAUUUGUGUUAGUAACUGUGCUCAGCUUGACGGUACCGAGUCAGAAAGCAACGGCUAACUACGUG